GGAUGCCAGCUGCCCCGUUGCACAAACCCAAGACGUUCUUGGCCAAGGCCUGGCCACCGUGCGGGGCCAGUCGACACAGCACCCGAUGUAGAUGCCAACACCGCCAUCUCAGUCUGAACAGACAACUGGACAUACGGACAGGAACGAUGCCACAACCGCGGAGCAACUCAGCAAGCGUCACGAUUCCCCCCCUAACCCCCCCCUCCCCCUGAGCACACGCACACACGCAGCACACACACACACGUAGUGUCCCGGUGGGGGAUCGCCUGGCACAACAGAUUAAACCGGCUGAGUCAAGGAUUAAUAAGUAUGGGCGCAGAGACAAUGGGCCGAAAAAGAACGUAUCGUAACGCUCCAUGUAAGGGCAGAAAAAUGUUUGAAAAUCACAGGUAGGCGCACGAUUGGUUGCGCAGGAUAACGUAACCCCGGAUGAUUUUUUUUUAAUAUGGGAUAAAAAAGGGAGCCAGAAACGGUUCAGGUCAGGUCUCUCAUCUCUGACUGCUUGGCCGCCCAGACCGACUCCCUGCUGUCCUGCCUCCUCGAGCCGCUCGCAGCAUUCAUGUGACGCUAGCAAGUGCAGCUACGAGACAGCGAUAGGUAAAGUCCGCUCUCAACUUCGUCCCUCCGACUCUCACAGCGUCAGUGCGAUGCUGCGAGUGUGGCCGUGAGGUACGUAAUUGGGCGUGUGAGUAUCUGGAGAAUUUGGUAGUGGUAGGAUAGGCUAUGCUCGCAGAAUAUUCCCCCCGGCGCAGUGUUUGUGAUUCCAGUGUGCGUGGAGCGACUGUCUGCCGGCACGUGCGUGUGUUCGCGCAGCCGCUGUAGCGCUAGUCUUUGUGUGGACACGGAUUAGGAUAUAAUCGCCCGCAGGCUCACGCGCGUAUUUGCGCAGCCUUUUAGCGUCAGUCUUAGUACAGGCGCAAAUUAGAAUCUGAUCGCCGGCAGGGGCGCGCGUGUGCUUGCCGCCGCUGUAGCAAUAGCGUUGGUGUGUGUGUGCGUGUGUGGAAUAACCCCGUCCGGCAGUGAGCCAGCGAUUUAGCUAUGUCCCUCAGAGGGGGCGCUAACGCGGGGGAGCCGAUCACCCGCUCGGCGGAGGCCCGACGGGGGCCGAUCGACGUGGUGGAGGAGGGAAUGGAGGAGGGAGCGGAACGGGCGCACGUCACGCCCCCCCCUGCCCGGCGAGGGCGGUGGGGUGGACGCCGGCCCCCACAAGGGCAUCCAUCUCCCACCCCCAGGGGGUGAGUGCACCCCAGGUGAAGAACCACUGCUCUUUAGCAUGUCUCGCCAGGAGAAGGCGGUGCAGCAAUUGUUAGACUCCACCUGUUCUGCCUCUAUGGGAUAUCGUGUUUCCAUUUUGCCCAUGUGGGUUUUGUGCAACUCCUCCCGUUUCUUCCCACAUGUAAACAUACACUCAUUCAUUUACCGAUAUCACCUUAAUACAUAGAGGACCGCAGAUUCUGGGCAAUCUCUGGCGCCAGCUCACCGCGUGGCUGCCUUUCUGCAUGGCUGUGCUUCCUCGCUCCUUCCCGUUGUUCUCUCUUUAUACGAGGGAGAGCAAACACGUUGUGGUGCGGGACACGUUUAAACAAUAUAAUUUUUUGUCCCAAUUAAAAGAGAUACAAAAACUCCACCUGCCGGGCAUGGACGUGCCUGGUCGGAGCUCAGUUGACUAGUGAGCUCUGACUCAGUUCUAAAUAUAGGUAAUAUGAGCAGAUGUUUUAUUGUAUAGAGCGUUCUUUUUUACACAGUUUACGAGCACAGGCCCAAAAUGUUGUCCGGCCGACAGUGUUGUAAUAGAUAGCAAGUCAACACGUUUGCUGAAAUGGUCACACUUAUUACACGAGUUUGGGGGGAAAGACGAUGGCACGAAAUUCAAAAGUGGAGCAGUGCUCGGAAAGAGGCGGAAAGAGAAG